rnacentral:misc_RNA from 1 species
GAUGAAGAACGUAGCUAAAUGCGAUACGUAAUGUGAAUUGCAGAAUUCAGUGAAUCAUCGAAUCUUUGAACGCAUAUUGCGCUCUUUGGUAUUCCGAAGAGCAUGCUUGUUUGAGUAUCAGUAAACACCUCAACCUCUUCUUGAUUUUUCAAAAGGAGGGUGGACUUGAGCUAUCCCAACAACCUUUACCGGUCGGCGGGCGGCUUGAAAUGCAGGUGCAGCUGGACUUUUAUCUGAGCUAAAAGCAUAUCUAUUUAGUCCUCGUCAAACAGGAUUAUUACUUUUGCUGCAGCUAACAUAAAGGAUAAUUGUCCUCUUUGCUGACUGAUGCAGGAUUUUACGACACUUUAUGUGUUGUUCAACUCGAUCUCAAAUCAAGUAAGACUACCCGCUGAACUUAAGCAUAUCAAUAAGCGGAGGA